rnacentral:lncRNA from 1 species
CACUGUUGAAAAUCAUCGUGGUACAGGUGGCUUCACUCUCAUCUGCUUUCAACUAGUCCUUACUGCUGCUUUCCCAUUCAAUGACCUUGCACUUGUGAGGCAGGCGGUGGAACAACUGAGCUAAAUCCCCGGCCCUGGUAUGUAGGGGACAGGGGAAGGGGACGUUACCAGAACCUCUGCAGUUAGUCCUGGUCUCCUG